UAGUGCCCUUAGGCGAGGAGAGGAUCCUCAGGUGUUCGAGCUAACCCGGGUUAAGGAACUAGGCAAAAUGGUCCCGUAACUUAGGGAUAAGGGACGCCCGGUCUGGUGACGGUGUACAACCUGAGCCGGGCUGGGCCGCAGAGAAAUGGCCUGGGCGACUGUUUACUAAAAACACACGUCUCUGCCAAGUCGUAAGACGACGUAUAGGGACUGACACCUGCCCGGUGCUGGAGCGUUAAGGGGAGAGGUCAGAAUACGCCUAACCGUGUAUUCGAAGCUUUGAACCGAAGCCCCAGUAAACGGCGGCCGUAACUAUAACGGUCCUAAGGUAGCGAAAUUCCUUGUCGGGUAAGUUCCGACCCGCACGAAUGGUGUAACGAUUUGGGCACUGUCUCAACCCGGGGCUCGGCGAAAUUGCAGUAGCGGUGAAGAUACCGUUUUCCCGUGGAAGGACAGAAAGACCCCGUGGACCUUUACUGCAGCUUGAUAUUGGGUUCCGCCGUGGCGUGUGUAGGAUAGGCGGGAGACUUUGAAGCCUGGUCGCCAGAUCAGGUGGAGUCAACGUUGAAAUACCGUCCUCGUUUCGUUGGAACUCUAACACGGGUCCGUGAUCCGGAUCGUGGACAGUGUCUGGUGGGCAGUUUGACUGGGGUGGUCGCCUCCCAAAAAGUAACGGAGGCGCCCAAAGGUUCCCUCAGCGCGGUCGGUAAUCGCGCGUCGAGUGCAAAGGCACAAGGGAGCUUGACUGCGAGACGGACAGGUCGAGCAGGUACGAAAGUAGGGCUUUGUGAUCCUGCGGUCCCGAGUGGAAGGGCCGUGGCUCAACGGAUAAAAGGUACCCCGGGGAUAACAGGCUGAUCGCCACCGAGAGUUCACAUCGACGUGGCGGUUUGGCACCUCGAUGUCGGCUCAAUGCAUCCUGGGGCUGAACAAGGUCCCAAGGGUUCGGCUGUUCGCCGAUUAAAGCGUUACGCGAGCUGGGUUUAGAACGUCGUGAGACAGUUCGGUCUCUAUCCUCCACGGGUGUAGGAAGCUUGAGGGGAUCUGUCUUCAGUACGAGAGGACCGAGACGGACGCACCUCUAGUGUACCAGUUGUCCCGCCAGGGGCACCGCUGGGUAGCUACGUGCGGACCAGGAUAAGCGCUGAAAGCAUCUAAGUGCGAAACCGGCCCCAAAACUAGGCUUCCCGACCGAAAGGUCCUCAAGGCCACUCGGAGAUUACGAGUUUGAUAGGCCGCAGGUGUAAGCACAGUAAUGUGUUCAGCCGAGCGGUACUAAUCGGCCGUGCGGCUUCAUUAC
rnacentral:rRNA from 1 species